UGAGGAAUAUUGGUCAAUGGACGAGAGUCUGAACCAGCCAAAUCGCGUGAAGGAAGACUGCCCUACGGGUUGUAAACUUCUUUUGUACAGGAAUAAAAGACAUUACGUGUAGUGUAUUGCAUGUACUGUACGAAUAAGCAUCGGCUAACUCCGUGCCAGCAGCCGCGGUAAUACGGAGGAUGCGAGCGUUAUCCGGAUUUAUUGGGUUUAAAGGGUGCGCAGGCGGGAUUUUAAGUCAGCGGUGAAAUUUUCAGGCUCAACCUGAACACUGCCGUUGAAACUGGGAUUCUUGAGUAUGGAUGAAGUAGGCGGAAUUCGUUGUGUAGCGGUGACAUGCUUAGAUAUAACGAGGAACUCCGAUUGCGUAGGCAGCUUACUAAGCCAUAACUGACGCUCAAGCACGAAAGCGUGGGGAUCAAACAGG
rnacentral:rRNA from 1 species